rnacentral:lncRNA from 1 species
GCCAUAAUUUGUAUGUCUCACUGCUAGGCAGCUCUGGACCACCGUGGCACACACAUGACUGCCCCUGGACACGUGUGCAUGUGCCACUGGUGGUUCAAGCCGAAGGCACCUGUUCACCCUGCAUCUUCAUCCACAGUGAGAGCUGACAUGGGGAUUACGGGGGUGAUUAGGGCCAGGCAGGAAGGUCACUGAGUCUGUGCUCACAGCUCAAAGCCCACCCUCAGGCCACUCAGGAUCUUCCUUAGAGCAAGUCCCUGGGAGCUAGAAGGGCACCUGGAGAUUCACCACCUAGCAAGAUGCCCUUCCCUCACGGAAGGGGAAACUGAGACCCAGAGAAACUCAAAUGAAGCCAACCCUGUCCAUGUGAAAU